rnacentral:pre_miRNA from 1 species
AAUGGGAUAGCUGGGUCCAGUGGUGGUUCUAUCCAAGGUUUCCAAGGAAUCUCCAUACUGCUUUCCAUAAUGGUUGUACCAUUUGCAGUCCCACCGGCAAU